UUUAGGUGUGAUGGUAUGUGCCUGUAGUUUCAGCUACUUGGAAGCCUGAGGCAGGAGGCUUGUUUAAGCUCAGGGUUUGAUACCAGACUGGGCAAUAUAGUGAAACCCUGUCUCUU
rnacentral:sRNA from 1 species